UAACGAGUACCUAGUCAAAAGUAACGACUAGGUAAGGGUAACGAGUACCUAAUCAAAAGUAACGAGUAGCGAGUCAAAAGUAACUAGUUGAAAGUAACGCUUCACAAAGAGGCUAGCAACGACUUUUAGUUUAACUGACUAACACGCGCGUCCUUCCGCCGUCCUGUCAGUCCGUCCAAGUCUAACUUAAUAUGUGUGUGUGUGUGUGUGUGUGUGUGUGUGUGUGUGUGUGUG